rnacentral:rRNA from 1 species
UACGUAGGUGGCAAGCGUUGUUCGGAUUUACUGGGCGUAAAGGGCGCGUAGGCGGCCACCGCAAGUCGACUGUGAAAUCUCCGGGCUUAACUCGGAAAGGUCAGCCGAUACUGCGGGGCUAGAGUGCAGAAGGGGCAACUGGAAUUCUCGGUGUAGCGGUGAAAUGCGUAGAUAUCGAGAGGAACACCUGCGGCGAAGGCGGGUUGCUGGGCUGACACUGACGCUGAUUGUGCGAAAGCUAGGGGAGCGAACGGG